AUAUAUAAGAGCUUGAUGAUGGCUCUGAAUGAACACUGUCCAAAUGCUUGACACAUGCUAAUCGUACGAUGUCACCCUUACUUCCGGAGUUUUAUCUGGAAAUAGAGUGAUAUAGUGGUGUAAAGGUGAGUAUUGGAUAACAUAACUACCUUAGAGUAAGGAGUAAUAUACCUUAUUAUUUUAACUUUAAAGUUGAAAAAAAGAAAAAUUUUCGCUCUAAGAGGUGUGUACCUCGUAUACAGUAGUAGUUGAGGUAAGGGCUCAACUAGCCAUUUAUACGUAGUCGAAACUGAGAGGUUGAUCGAUCACAAUGGGCCUGAAUAAAACCCAUGAUUACAAUCGCAGCAGUGAGGGAUAUUGGUCAAUGGCCUAACGGCUGAACCAGCAACUUGGAAGAACGUAUAGCAGUAGCUAGUCACGUCAAUUAUAAAUUGGUGUGAUAUCGACCAGGUCGAAUAAAGUUCUACGCAGUACUAUGAUAAUGACAUUCUCUGCUUAAAGUCUUGGCCAAAUUACGUGCCAGCUGUCGCGGUAAGACGUAGAAGGCUAGUGUUAUUCAUCUUUAAUGGGUUUAAAGUGUACAUAGGCGGUAAUUUAAGCUUUGACAAGAACUGUUUUACUAGAGUUUUUUUUUGAGGGGGCAAUAAGGUACUAAUGGUGUAGAGAUAAAAUUCUGUAAUACCUUUUUUCGUGAGAAAAAUAAUGGCACAAGCAUGGGCGAAGGCAUCCCCUUUAUAUAAUAACUGACGUUGUGGGACGAAGGCUUUAUGUAACAAACAGGAUUAGAUACCCUGGUAGUCGAAGCAGAUAACACUGAAUGCCACAGAGUAGAUAAUAAUUUUAUUCUGUAGAUGAAAAUUAAAGCAUUCCACCUCAAGAGUAAUUUGGCAACAUUGGAACUGAAAUCAUUAGACCGUUUCUGAAAACAGUAGUGAAGUAUGUUAUUUAAUUUGAUAAUCCACAAAGAACCUUACCACAAUUUGAAUAUUUAUAUAUAAACAUGAAUACAAGUGUUGCACGGCUGUCUUCAGUUAAUGUCGUGAGAUAAUGGUUGGCUCCAUUUAAUUAACGUAAACCCUUACUUUAUUUUUAUAUAAAGUUGUUCUCCAUUAUAUUGGACAAGAUAACAGGGACUAAGACAAGUCCACAUGACCUUUAUGUUGUGGGCUAUAGACGUGCUGCGUGAGCCUUUACAAAAGGGUGUAAAAUCGUAAGAUUGAGCUAAUCCCCCAAAACUGGCUAUACAUUAUAAUGGAUCGUAGUCUGUAACUCGACUACGUGAAAUAGGAAUUACUAGUAAUCGUGUAUAAUUAUGGCACGGUGAAAUUUAUCUCAGAUAGGUACUAACCACUCGUCAGGCGCUGAAAGAAGAUGCGUACAGUAAGUUUAGCUAAAGUUUAUUUUCGAUUUUGGUAAGUUGGCCAAAAUUAUUUAAAAAACGGUUUUCGGAUGUGUGGCUUUGAUUGGCGUUAAGUCGAAAUAUGGUUCGUGUAGUGGAAGUUGCACGGGAUUUAUAUAUAUA
rnacentral:rRNA from 1 species